ensembl:processed_transcript Gm14207 predicted gene 14207
GUCUGCUUAAAGGCUGAGACCCUCGCCACCAGAGGAUAGGAGGGUAGCCCAGUGAUGCGGCGGGAGACUUUAGGUAGCUCCUGCCUCGCUGGCCUCCAGCCUAUGUGUGCCCACCCUCCACGCGUCCCCAGCACCGCAGGGAAGCCAUCCGACGCGUUAACCUUUCCCUGGCUAUUCCAAGCAAGGCAAAGGGCCAAGCGUCUAGGACUCUGGUCUUCUCUGCACCUGGCAACAUGAAGACAACCAGAGGCCACCUCGGGGGCGGGGCACAAAUGAAAUUCACGGGUAGAGGAAAAGACAGAGGACACACUCCUAAGGGAAGAGGCAAUAGGAGCAGAACGGAGGAGGGGAAAGAGCAGAGCGUGAAAAGUCAAGGUUUCGGGGCCUUUUUUGGUAGGAGGCCUGUGAUAAGGUUCUUGACUGAACAACCUGGCCUUCUAGAGAAAACCUUCCCACUGAGACAACUCUCCUGCGGGAGGGUUUCAGAGCAGCGGCCUGCAGAAAGGAAGAGAUGUCAUCCUUGAAUGGAUCUAAUCAGAGAGGGUGCUGG